UACCCUGGGCUACCCUCACAGUGAACCUGCCCAUCACAAACAAGGGCUGCAGCAUGAAGAGGGCCAACCUCUGCCUUCCAGGUACCUGCACUACCUAUCAGAUGACGGCCUGGCUGCCAGUUAGCAUCCCUGCUGACCCCUGUGGCCUGCCCUUUCCAGAGACUAUGCUCCAGCAGCCUUUCGAAGAUGCCACCUUGGAGGACAACAUCUUCUUCCCAGAGAGACUUGAGCAGCCCAGUGGCCUCCACCAGGUGAAAGGGAAAUGAUGAAGAUGAGUUAUCCUGAAGGCCCCAACCUUCAUUGUGGUAGCUGGGCAUAAUCUGGGAAGGCUUUCUGCAAGCGGUACGUGUCAGGGGCAGACUGCAAAAAGUGGAAAUAAAUAGAUGGAGAGAAC